rnacentral:tRNA from 1 species
AUACCGGCCUGUCACGCCGGGGGUCGCGGGUUCGAGUCCCGUCCACUCCGCCA